UACGAAGGGGGCUAGCGUUGUCCGGAGUUACUGGGCGUAAAGCGCACGCAGGCGGUCCCAUUAGUCUGUGGGGACAGGGCACGGCUCAACCGUGUCAGGCUCAUGGAAACUGUGGGACUUGAGAGCUUCAGAGGGAUGGGGAAUUCCGGGUGGAGUGGUGAAAUGCGUAGAGAUCCGGAAGAACACCAAAGGCGAAGGCACCAUCCUGGGGAGUCAGCUGACGCUACGGGUGGCGAAAGCUAGGGGAGCGAACGGG
rnacentral:rRNA from 1 species